rnacentral:lncRNA from 1 species
AGAAACUCAGAAAACAAUUCUUUCUCUCUCUUCAUUCUCUCUCCAAAGGCACUCUCUCACUCUGCAACUCUCUCAAACAAACACUAAACUUCACCAACGUAACCUGAAACCUACACCAUUGUGUUCAUCUCGACUCCACAAACACAACCAUACCACUAGAUCACACACUGACCAUGUUUUGGACAUCGAACUCGGAAGGUCCGAACUCAGUGAGUUUGAGUUCAACGAGUCUCAAGCCAAGUCAAGGAUUUUUUAAGGUCGGGGAAGCUUUCUUACAACCCCCCGAGGUCUUUAGUGAAGGUUUUGUGAAGAAACAAACUCGAAAUACAAGGUUUCGAGAAGUCCCUGUUUUAGUCGUACUUUUCAAGGCAUUUUCAGGCCACCUUCGUCCACUUUUUCGACUCCAAAAAGGUAUAACGCGAUUCUACUCAUCAUAAGCUUCAUUUCCAUAUAAAUUUGUGAAAAAUGGUUGAGGAAUGAACAAGAUAUGAAGGUUUGAAAAUUUUCCCAAAAACUGGCGAAAUUUUCCAGUUUUCGAUGAGUUCAAACGAUGGCGGAUGGCGGUGACAGGCGAGGAUGACCGGAGGAGACGAUGGAAUAUUCCGUCAACUACGACAGAAUAUUCUAAUGGCGUCAGGUAACGUCGUUAACUUCUGUUAAGGUUUUAAAGGAAUAUUCCUAAUGCCAUUAGUCACGCGGAUCUCACCUGCUGCGCAUGGCCGGUGUGUGUGGCCAUGCCUUGGCUGGCACGUGAGGGCACGUCCAAUGUCUAAAAAUUAUUCUGAAAAUUUGUGUAGGUUCGUGACGUCGAGUAGAUCGAUUUCAUGUAUUUAAACUUUAAGUUUGAGCAAACUAUGGGGGUUUUAUUUAAGUUUCCAUAUAUGUGUUUAAUUAAUUUAAAUAUAGUUAUUUAGAUCUGUAAACGAGUCAAGUUUAU